AACAUCUCCGAAAAACACUUCAUAGACAAUGGAAAUUACAAACAGACUUUACAAGCUCUGAACAGUGGCACAACAAAGGGUAAAAUGGUCCAUUACAGACCGAAAAGCUCUCGCACAUGUCCACAUGACAUAACCUUUAUUUACAAGCCUAAAGAGGCCACCAACCCAACUAAAGUGGGACUAUUAAGCCUUCGGCCGCCCCUCUACAUUCUGUACAAGGCAUGAACAUGCCAACAGACACGGACAGAUAUAAGCAUUACAUCAAACAUCCUGUUUCAAAGUUUGUCCAUGACAUUCUCCCCCACUUAUCCCUUCGACGUCCUCGUCGAAGCCUUUGUGAACACUACAACUCUUCGCCUUUGCUGAGUCUUCAAUCUUCCGCUCUAGCUGCAAUGCGCCUCCUGGCUCCCAGCUGCUCUCCGCUGUUGUUUUUGAGUAGUCGAACCUUUGAUCCGCCAUGCUGCUUCAACUCGCCAAUGACUCUGACUCUGGUGUGGGGUUGGCUGAGUUGUGUUGAUCCUUGUUGAUUCCUAUGGAUCCACCAAAUGAAGGAAAAGACCAUCCUUACUGCGCCAGUCUCUCAAAAUUUCCACAUGCUGCUUGAACUGGGUGGAUGCUUGUUGGAGCUUUAACGAGCAUCGCCUCGCAAACUUCUGAAGUUUUGGGUCCUUCCUCCACAAAAUCUGCUCAUUGACUCUUCUUUCAGUUAGUUGUCACAUCCAAGUAGGUUCGCAUCACUUCCGCUUUCGAUUGGCAUUUCAUUGGGAAAUAAAGCAGACAAUCUACUCUCAGUAGCACUGAUCACCGUUGGUGAGGAUUUGACAACUAUUGUCUUCCAUUAUCUUCGAAGGGUCUUUGAACUUGUGCAGAGCUCCUCUGCUGGAUAGAUAAGAGAACUGGGGUACUCGGUUUCGCCCAUUCUCUUGAGAGUUGAGAAGGCAAAGGUUACUUGACUUCGCCCGCCUCCUCGAGGUUGUACUUCAUGCAUCGAGCUGGUUACUGGCCUUCGCCUGCUCUUUGCUCACACUUCUGAAGCACUUGAAGUGUUUGCACUCCUUGCGUUGAGUUAGCUACUGUGAUUCACCUUCUCAAUGCCAUCGAACUUCUGGAAUGCGGAAAGUUUUCACCCCAACUUGGAGUAAUUCUCUGAUAGAUGAGGUCGCCUCUGGGAUUGUACCAUCUUCUCCAUCAACCCUGCCGCCUACUCCACUGAGUAGCAAAGGUACAGCACCGCGUACUGCCUACUUCGUUCCUUGGUCGUGCACUCUUGCAUGACCCGAAGUCCUUCCCUUACGGCUAUCUUGAUGAGAAACUUGUUGACACCGGUCUUACGAAGUUUCUUGGCCUCUGCCCUUCAGCCUUGUCUUGGUACUUGGAGAUUGCCUCUGCAUACUCCACCUCCUCGACCCCUUUCACGACCAAGCGCUCUCCCUCCAUGAG
rnacentral:lncRNA from 1 species